GGCCGGUUAGCUCAGUUGGUUAGAGCGUGGUGCUGAUAACGCCAAAGCCCAAGGUUCAACCCCUGUACCAGCCA